rnacentral:rRNA from 1 species
UCAAGGAAUUAAGAGUUUAUGGGGGAUACCUUGGCAUUCAGAAGCGAUGAAGGACGUGGUUACCGACGAAACGCUUCGGGGAGCUGGAAACAAGCUAAGAUCCGGAGGUCUCCGAAUGAGGAAACUCUAAUACUACUUAUUGAAUAGAUAAAUAAGAAAGAGCGAACCUAGGGAAUUGAAACAUCUUAGUACCUAGAGGAAAAGAAAGUAAAAACGAUUCCCGUAGUAGCGGCGAGCGAACUGGGAACAGCCUAAACUGUGAAAUUUCAUUUCACCGGGUAGAGGGACAGUUAGAAAUGAUUAAAUGUGACAGUUAGACGAAUUAGUUGGAAUGCUAAGCCAGAGAAAGUGAUAGUCUUGUAGUCGAAAAUUGAAACAAUCAAACUGGAUCCCAAGUAGCAUGGAGCACGUGAAAUUCCGUGUGAAUCAGCGAGGACCACCUCGUAAGGCUAAAUAUUCCUGAAUGACCGAUAGUGAAAUAGUACCGUGAGGGAAAGGUGAAAAGAACCCCGUGAGGGGAGUGAAAAGAACAUGAAACCAUAAACUUACAAUCAGUAGGAGGACGACUAAAACGUCUAACUUCGUGCCUGUUGAAGAAUGAGCCGGCGACUUAUAAGUAGUGGCAGGUUAAGGCAGAGAAUGCCGAAGCCAUAGUGAAAGCGAGCCUGAAUAGGGCGUUUGUCACUGGUUAUAGACCCGAACCCGGAUGAUCUAACCAUGGUCAGGUUGAAGCUUAGGUAAAACUAAGUGGAGGACCGAACCGACUGAUGUUGAAAAAUCAGCGGAUGAACUGUGGUUAGGGGUGAAAUGCCAAUCGAAUUCGGAGCUAGCUGGUUCUCCCCGAAAUGCGUUUUGGCGCAGCGAUAAAUCUUAUAACUUAGGGGUAAAGCACUGUUACGUAUGCGGGCUGGUAAUUCGGUACCAAAUCGUUGCAAACUAAGAAUACUAAGUGGAUAAUUUAUCAGUGAGACUGUGGGGGAUAAGCUUCAUUGUCAAGAGGGAAACAGCCCAGAGCACCAGUUAAGGCCCCUAAAUAAUUGCUAAGUGAUAAAGGAGGUGGGAGUGCAUAAACAAUCAGGAGGUUUGCUUAGAAGCAGCAAUCCUUUAAAGAGUGCGUAAUAGCUCACUGAUCGAGUAAACCUGCGCCGAAAAUGUACGGGACUAAGUAAUUUGCCGAAGCUGUGCGAUAUAUAGAAUAUAUCGGUAGGGGAGCGUUCUGUUGUAGGUUGAAGUAUUAGCGUAAGCGGAUAUGGACGAAGCAGAAGUGAGAAUGUCGGCUUGAGUAACGAAAAUAUAGGUGAGAAUCCUAUACCCCGAAAACCCAAGGUUUCCUCCGGAAGGCUCGUCCGCGGAGGGUAAGUCAGGACCUAAGGCGAGGCUGAAAAGCGUAGUCGAUGGACAACGGGUUAAUAUUCCCGUACCAUUAUUUGUUGAUAUCGAGGGACGGAGAAGGCUAAGCUGGCCGGAUGUUGGUUACCGGUUUAAGCGUUCAAGGUGUCGAGAAGCGGAGAAAACGCUUUGAGCUAAGGCGUGAAUACGAGAUACUACGGUAUCGAAGCAGUCUAUGUCAUACUUCCAAGAAAAGCUCGCACUGUCAAAAACAAACUAAUGCCUGUACCAUAACCGACACAGGUGGGUAGGUAGAGUAUACUAAGGGGCGCGAGAUAACUCUCUCUAAGGAACUCGGCAAAAUAACUCCGUAACUUCGGGAGAAGGAGUGCCUUUUUAAGGCUGCAAUAACCAGAUCCAAGCAACUGUUUAUCAAAAACACAGGUCUCCGCUAAGUCGUAAGACGAUGUAUGGGGGCUGACGCCUGCCCAGUGCCAGAAGGUUAAAGAAGUUGGUUAGCCUUGCGAAGCUGAUGACUGAAGCCCUGGUGAACGGCGGCCGUAACUAUAACGGUCCUAAGGUGAAUUUGUUGCCUUAGUAAAACUUAACUGUAUGCUGGAAUAUCCUCCAAAAUGUAGCAUACUCGUGUCAGAUUUUUCGGACUAAUACCGCACUCUUAGGUAAGCCGGUCUUAGCAAGACGCAGUGAUAAUUGACUAUAACAUGGGGACAAUCAGCAGGAAACUUCAAAAAGGAUCCUCAGAGACUAUACGUUAAGGAGAAAGAUAUAUGGAUUUAAAUGCUCAGUGGCUAGUUGGUUUUGUCGACGGAGAAGGAUGCUUUCACAUAGGCAUUAAUCAAAACAAGGAAAUGAAAUUAGGAGUUCAAGUUCUUCCUGAAUUCACUGUGACCCAACACCAAGUAGACGAACAAGUCUUAUAUGGUUUAAAGGAUUACUUUGGAUGUGGAGUUGUUCGAAAGAAUCAUGGUAAAAUAAAGUGUUACCGAGUUCGUGGACAUCAGAACCUUCUGACGAAAAUUAUUCCUUUCUUCGAAAAACAUCAACUUAAAACAAAAAAGCGAAUUGAUUUUGUGAAAUUUAGAAGGGUUGUCCGUCUGAUGGAAGAUGGAGCUCAUUUAGAAUCUGAAGGCUUAGAAAGAAUUCGGGAAAU